AAACACAACUUCCUCUUUGUAGGACUCUUGUGUGACACUUCAAUGUUUCUUCUUUUCCAGAGAAAACGUGUCCUGAAGGCUGGAGGAUGUUCAGUUGUGCUUGUUAUCUUCUCUCUACUCGGGAUGAUUCCUGGACAAAUGGCAGAACAGACUGCAGACACCAAGGAGCUGAUCUGGUCAUCAUAGACUCACUUGAAGAACAGAAAUUCAUCUCAGGCAUCGUCAAAAGUCAUACUUGGAUUGGUUUGAGUGACAGAGAGAUCGAGGGCACCUGGAAAUGGGUUGAUGGAACUCCACUGACUGCAGCGUAUUGGGGCGCUAAACCUGGUCCAGUUCAACCUGAUGACUUUGGAGGUAACGAGGAUUGUGUUGAAAUAGUUGUCAGCUGGAACUCAGACAGAAACUGGAACGAUAGAGACUGUGCUUCCCCUCUGAAAUGGAUCUGUGAAAAAUUGGUUUAAUAUUUCAAGUUUCAAAGGUUAAACAAUUAUUUGUUACUAUGCAACCCAGGGAAGACAUUUUAGCUCAUUUGUAACAUAAAGAAAAGAAAACACACUUAUUUAAUCUGCAUUAUAAACAAUGUAAGCAAAAAAACAAUUAUCUGAUGUAAUAAUAUGGCCGACAUCUUCACAUUAAAACACUGUGUCCUGCUCUCUGUCCCCAUGUCCACCCGUCAAGUAUUACAUCCAUGAAUGUUAUUAUGAUCCCGAUAACUGCCUUAAAUGGUGUAUGUGAGAGAUUAAGAGAAAAGGAGAGUGCAUGUGAAGGGUUGGAGGUAUGAAGUUGUCUGUAUAAUGGUUUUGUGUAAACUUUAGCAUGUGUUUGUUAACUAGUAAG